UUUUUUAGAUUGUUGUAUUAUGGGGCAUCAAAAGUCAUUUUUUAAAAGCAAUAGCUUGGAAUAUUGGGGGGCAAAGGGCUAGUGAGCGCCUCAGAGGUUGUGCAUCUUGCCGAGAGAUGCAUAACAUAAAAACUCUGAAAGGCACGUGUGGCAUGCACGACGCAUAAAGCACUUUCCUAGCAAGUCCUACUUCUACCUCCCCGUGGUGCUUCCUGGGUAACGCUAACAGAAGAGGGCAAAGGGCGAGUUGCCAGCGCCCUAAAACUGGCACCCCUCGGUUAAGGUAUGGGAACCCCUACAGAAGAGUCCCCGGUCCUCCAGGUUGGGGGUUAUGCGCGCGAGAAGCUGACACGGUCUGACACUUUUUCUCAUAUAAUAUCAGUGAUAAUUCAAAAUUAAUUCUGUAUUAAGUUUUUUUUCCAAGUAUAGAUAGUGUAUAAACCUUACUUACGAUAUAAAAAGCAUUAUUUAAUUUAGCAUUGAUUUUGGAGAAAUGAAUCAUAAGUUAUAUAUAAUCAAAUACUUGAUAAAGAUUUCAUAUUUAUUUUUCAGCAGAUAACUUUUGAAUGAGAAUAUUUCUUAAAUUCAUUACAAUUCAUCUAUAACUAAUGUUUAAAAAAAAAAUGAUAUAACUUUUGCAAAAUGAUAGCCCGACGAGUAACCUGUUGAGUAAUGUGCCAGACAUUGAUGUUUAAACCUUGUGCCGCCUUGUAGCUCCCAUUAACUUAACUACUGUUAUAUUCUACUAUCACCAAUUGCUUUUGUGUUGCAUAGAAACCAUUUACUAUAUGAUAUGUCUCGCUCUAGUUCUAUUGUAUUGUAAGGUAUAGCCAGAGAGGACAGAGAAGUGAAACAUACCAAGUAUAUAUACAUAUAGUAUAGUGAGGAUACUAUUGAUAUAUUACCUGUAUGUGAAUUAUUGUGUAUUAUGGUUUAAUGGUGUAAAUAGUCUCCUCAGUCUUUUGUUAUGGCAGUGUUUGAAAUGGAAUCUGCAGUGGAUUACUGUAUCCGAAAGGAGCUACAGUACCACAAGUGAAUUAAGAUUGAGAUCAAUCCAUAUGCUGAUUCCAAUCGGGUUAAUGAAGGAUGGGGAUGAUUGUUAGAUGAUGGAUGGAUAUGGUAGCUAACCCCGAUAAAGGGGUUAGCUAAUUCCUAAUUUUAAACGGUUUUACCGCAGUUAAUUCUAAAUUCACAGGGAUUUUUUGUAUCACAGUCUAUUGGAAGGAGCUAAAUGGCCGGAUGACAAGGAGCUGCGUUCGGGAAUAUACACCGAGAGUUUUUAAUCUAAGUCAUACAAAUAAAUUUUACAACGUGUACUACUCGGUGUGUAUUUUCAAAUGCAACAACGGCAGGAAAGACAAGGCGGUUUAAGGAAAACAUCUUCCUCACAGGUAUCAUGAACCGGACUAUCCGGAUCCCCAAUCAUGAUGGGUGUUUACUCCCACCAUGAUCCCACAGGGAUCCGAAAGCCUAGUUCGUGCUUCUGCCUUAUAUAUGAACUACACCAAACACAAGCGCUUGCGAGAAACGAAGACACCUUUGUAUCAUUAUAAUUUCAUUUCUCCGAAAUCAUUAAAGUUAAAUUUAAUAAAAAAACUUUAAUUAUAAAAUUAAAACUAUGCAAUUUGUAAUAUUUUUCAUUUCUUUUAACUUAAAUAAAGCUGUUAACUUAAAUAUUCAUCAAUGUAAUAACCAUCUUUUGGUCAAUAAUCGAACUAAAAGUGUGUGACACGUGCUGUGUGCAUGUAGGACCUAUCGUUUGUUUUCUGUUCCUGAACUCUCUGAAUUAGUGUACACUUAAAAUGAAAUAGAUAGAUGUUUGAAAGUUAGCGAAAGCAAGAAGCAACGUUCCAGUGCAGUCUAGUGCAGGAAUAGAAAACAAGCCUUUAAUCUCCGUUCGCGGUUUAUUUCAAACGUUGACUAUGCGUGUCUCAAGAGACACAAAUUAAAAAUUAAAAAAUUUGUUCCGAGCAUAUAUUUAAAAUUCCUAUAGAAAAGAGAUAAUGUUAACGUCAGAGUGCAGACGACAUCGGACUUGAGAACGAACGACAAAAGCCAUUCCGACGUAUUAUUUGUUGUGCACCUGUUCAGCAGCGAAAUUUGUUAUUUAGUUUAUAAAAAUGUUAAAAACAGGGAAACGAAAUAAUGCGAUUUUGUUGUUUGUGUAAAAGAAAAAGCACACAGGAUAAUAAGAUUAUUUUACAUAAGUUUACUGACAAAUGACAAAUAUGUAUUGACAGUAUUUUUGCCUCACUGAUAGAUGCUGGGGACAUUCAUAAUCUUUGCUCACUUUCAAGCCAAAGUAUCACUUUGUAUUGGUUUUCAUAAUUUUCUGUAAUUAGAAGACUUAAUGAUGACUGUGAAUAAAUUCCACUUGGAGAAAUAUAAUUAAAUACUACUAAUUCAUCUGUAAUAUAUGUUAAGUUAGUAUGUUACUGUUUGUAUGCAAAUUGUGCAACGUCAAUUUGCAUCAUGAUAUUUAUUGAAUAUGCCCAAGCUCUAUCUGAUAGUCCUUACUUCAGUGCUGGCUUUGCUCUAUUUGGCAUUGGAGCUGGAGCUGCCCUGUUGAAGAAAGGCGUUCAAAUUGGAACUGUAUUAUUCAGGUGACAUAUGAUCACUUUGGAGGUGCCAUGUCGUGAUAAGAGAAAGGCACCCAAGAGGUGCCUCUUUGUGGAGACUAGUUUCGAGCAGAUGGACACCUAAUGGAUUAAUAAUAAUACGAACUAUAAAUAAAGAUGGAAUUGUAAAUAAUGAAAGAUAUCUCAAGAUUCAAACAAUGAAGCAAAAUUAGUAAAAUACGAAAUCAAAAGAUUCCAUAUAAAUUUAUUGAUUGCACUCUUUAAGGAGGCAUAAAUCUAGACACCUUUGUAAUUUUUUUUCGUAAUAAAAACGGAAAAAGAAGUA
rnacentral:lncRNA from 13 species